rnacentral:rRNA from 1 species
AUUGAACGCUGGCGGCAGGCCUAACACAUGCAAGUCGAGCGGAGCGGCGGACGGGUGUGUAAUGCCUAGGAAUCUGCCUGGCAGUGGGGGAUAACGUCCGGUAACGGGCGCUAAUACCGCAUUCUAUCAGAUGAGCCUAGGUCGGAUUUGCUAGUUGGGGGGGUAAAGGCCUACCAAGGCGAGGAACCGUAACUGGUCUGAGAGGAUGAUCAGUCACACGGGGACUGGGACACGGCGCAGACUCGUACGGGAGGCAGCAGUGGGGAAUAUUGGACAAUGGGCGAAAGCCUGAUCCAGCCAUGCCGCGUGUGUGAAGAAGGUCUUCGGAUUGUAAAGGACUUUAAGUUGGGAGGCGGUACCAACAGAAUAAGCACCGGCUAACUACGUGCCAGCAGCCGCGGUAAUAC